AGUGAACGCUGGCGGUAGGCCUAACACAUGCAAGUCGAACGGCAGCACAGUAAGAGCUUGCUCUUACGGGUGGCGAGUGGCGGACGGGUGAGGAAUACAUCGGAAUCUACUUUUUCGUGGGGGAUAACGUAGGGAAACUUACGCUAAUACCGCAUACGACCUACGGGUGAAAGCAGGGGAUCUUCGGACCUUGCGCGAUUGAAUGAGCCGAUGUCGGAUUAGCUAGUUGGCGGGGUAAAGGCCAACCAAGGCGACGAUCCGUAGCUGGUCUGAGAGGAUGAUCAGCCACACGGGAACUGAGACACGGUCCAGACUCCUACGGGAGGCAGCAGUGUGGAAUAUUGGACAAUGGGCGCAAGCCUUAUCCAGCCAUACCGCGUGGGUGAAGAAGGCCUUCGGGUUGUAAAGCCCCUUUGUUGGGAAAGAAAAGCAGCAGGUUAAUACCCCGCUGUUCUGACGGUACCCAAAGAAUAAGCACCGGCUAACUUCGUG
rnacentral:rRNA from 1 species